ensembl:lncRNA
UUCCACUUCCCACUCCCGCCAGCUGGUGGCCUCCAGAAGGUGGCAGAGCCGGCAGCCGCCCGAGCUGGGACGGCCCGGGCGCGGGAUGGUGGGGGAAGGGGCGUUCCCGGCGGCCGCGCCUUCCGCGGCUAUUGGAUUAGUGGCCUUCAGGGAUGAGCUCAGCCGGAUCGGCUUUCAGCUGCAGCCUCCGGGCCGGCCGGGAAGGCGGGGAGCGGGCGGCCGUGGAGGAGGAGGGGGAGGCGGCGGCUGCAGCAUCCAGAGCUGGCCCUGGCAGUCGGCGCGCCCCGUGCACAAAGGCGCCCAGCCCCUGGGGAAGGCGAUGAGCGCACGGCAGCCCGGGCCCCGGCCACCGCAGCAGCCAUCGCGGCGUGCGCCCGGGGCGCUGGGGAAGAAACCCGGCACUCCAGGGACAGGCGGCCGAGGUGCGGCCCGUGCGCCCUAAGCGCGGGGACUCGCCGCCCUCCAGGUCAGGCGCCAAGCUUCGGGGCGGCCAGGGCUCCGGCUUCCGCGCCCCCCUGAGAUCCGCGCAGUCGGGCGCUUCCCCACCCGGGACCGGACCUCGGAGCCUUCUUGCCGAGCCUGAGCGCCAACUUCGCCAGGAACGUCCCUAACUCCAGGGCACCCUGCGGGGAGAGAGGGCGCUGCUGCGGGGCACAAGCCGAGAGGACGCGCCGCUGGCGGAGAAGCCAGCAUCCGCGGGGUCGCUCGGGCGCCCCUGAGUGGGCAGCAGCGGCAGCAGACCUCUCUCCCGGGAGUUCCGGACCUGCCAGCGCUGGGGAUUCCUCCCGGGCAGGCGCUCGCCCUCUCUUUUAUGCCCAUGCUGGACUAGAACUCACAGUGUAGCCCAGGUUGACUCCCAACUCUCAAUCUUCUGGACCCCUCCGGGUGUGGGCCAUCACACCUGACUCUGACAGGUACUCUUUAAUGCAGACUGGCGGUGUGCACAGGACUGGUCUAGAAGACAGGUGGCAGUUAGCUGGGCAUGGUUAGCCUUCUAGAAGUAACGUGUAAUGCAGGAGGCAUCAGUGGGACUAGAUUGUUAGGAUGGCAUCAAUGGGGCACAGAGGAGUGAGAAAAUGCCAGUGGGCAGUAAAGGUGAGCAAGUCCCAGAAGCUUGGGGUUAAAGGGGUAAGCCGACUCAGAGUCUGGCAUCACUGGUCAGAGAAAGGCUAUAAGGAGACGGUGACAGUGAAGCCCUUGGGUGUCAGCUCAAAGGGGGGGGGGUGUGUUUGAAUGAGCAAGUGAUAGACAGCCUGCUUGGAUUUAGCCUCUUGGCAGCAAGGGGGCGGGGUUGGGUUAGAGUUCCAAAGCAAAAAUCAUAGGUCCUCCCUAGGAGACUGCUCCAGUAAUUCCACUAAGAUGGAAACCAAGAGGAAGUAGAAGGUAUUGAGUGGAGCAAUAGACAGACAGGAACCUGGGUUAUGGAGAUGGAAGAGGUUGAGCUCAGCCCAGGACAUGUGAUUCUCAGAUGUGCCACUGUGUUGGGAAGGUGGCCAUGUGCCCAGUGGAAAGCUUAGAAUGGAAAGAUGCACUACAGAGUCGCCCAACAGAGCAUCUAUAAUGGCCAGAGGCUAGGUGAGGGAGGGCAAAGAGGGCUGUGGAUGGCAACAGAGGGAUAGAAGGGCAAACUUUAAGAAAGGAUACACAGAGAGGAGGGGACAGAGUCUAAGAUGUUGCCUUGAGGUGUUGCAUGUAUAGAGCAGGCAGGAAAGAUGGCGUGGACAUUCCACUUUUCUGAGUGCCAUACAUUACAUGUAGGAAGAGUGCAGAGCAGUGCCAGUAUCACCUCUGUGGGUUAUGGUUGUGGUCCUGUGAACUGUGUUCAUUGUGGUCUGCAACUCUGCCUUUCCAGAAAUGAGUGAGCUUGGUCGGGUUAGCUGGCCCUUAAAGACAUCCCCACCUGUUAGCCACAUUCUGUGCGAUAACUGAGGGUGUGGUAAGAGUCCCAGGGAUAGGGCGCUUCUCAUAGGCAGGCCCCUCCUGUCUACCUGCAUUGCCCUUUUCCUCCCAAGCCUGGUGUAUGCAGCAUAUGCAAAAAAGAUGUCCCCGGCUUAUCAGAGGAAUCCACAAGUCCCCUGGAUUAACCCUGGUGCUUAAAUGGCCCUGCUUUGAUUUAGGAAGCCUGUUUUCAGACAAGCACUCAUGUCCAGUGAGUUUACACUCAUCUUGGGAGUUAUAUGAGAGGUUGGACAUACACAUG